UACGGAGGGUGCAAGCGUUAUCCGGAUUCACUGGGUUUAAAGGGUGCGUAGGCGGGCAGUUAAGUCAGUGGUGAAAUCUUGGGGCUCAACCCCGAAACUGCCAUUGAUACUAUCUGUCUUGAAUACUGUGGAGGUUAGCGGAAUAUGUCAUGUAGCGGUGAAAUGCUUAGAUAUGACAUAGAACACCGAUUGCGAAGGCAGCUGGCUACACAAGCAUUGACGCUGAGGCACGAAAGCGUGGGGAUCAAACAGG
rnacentral:rRNA from 1 species